UACGGAGGAUGCGAGCGUUAUCCGGAUUUAUUGGGUUUAAAGGGUGCGUAGGCGGGAUGCCAAGUCAGCGGUAAAAAUGCGGUGCUCAACGCCGUCGAGCCGUUGAAACUGGCGUUCUUGAGUGGGCGAGAAGUAUGCGGAAUGCGUGGUGUAGCGGUGAAAUGCAUAGAUAUCACGCAGAACUCCGAUUGCGAAGGCAGCAUACCGGCAUCCAACUGACGCUGAGGCACGAAAGCGUGGGGAUCAAACAGG
rnacentral:rRNA from 1 species